UUCGGGUUAGUGGCGGACGGGUGAGUAAUUUUUUACCUCUGCCCUAAGGAGAGAGAUAACGGUUGGAAACGACCGCUAAUACCCCAUAUGCCGAGAGGUGAAAAGAAAUUCGCCUGAGGAUGAGCUCGCGUCUGAUUAGCUAGUUGGUGUGGUAAUGGCGCACCAAGGCUUCGAUCAGUAGCUGGUCUGAGAGGAUGAUCAGCCACACUGGGACUGAGACACGGCCCAGACUCCUACGGGAGGCAGCAUUGGG
rnacentral:rRNA from 1 species